rnacentral:SRP_RNA from 1 species
ACUGGGAGCGUGGCGUCUCCUGUAAUCCGGCUACUCGGAGGUCGGGGUUGGAGGAUGGUUUGAGGCCGGGAGUCCUGGUGCUGAGAUAUCCAUGUUGACUGGACGUCCACACUAAGCUUGGUAUUAAUAUGGACCCCCCGGAGGAGUCUGGGGGGUGCAGGUUAACUAAGGAGGGGCGAAUCGGGCCAGGGGGGAAACCCAGCAGCCAAAAGACCCCGUAUCGGGCAGUAGUGGGAUAGCGGCUGGGAGUGGACGCUCUGUAUCAGCCCGACCAAUAUAACCAGACCCAUUCCUUU